AAAAAGACAAAUUCUAGGUUUGUGUCCAAUGUUUGACUGGACUGUCCCGUCUUAUAUGAAAUUUUUUUAUAAUUAGUAUUUUCAUUGUUGUUAGAUGAUAAAACAUGAUUAAUACUUUAUGUGUGACUUGUCUUUUUAUUUUUUUCAAAUAAGACGGACGGUCAAACGUUGAACACGGAAAACCAGGGUUUGUCUUUUU
rfam:Oryza rufipogon genomic scaffold, chr05